AUUGAACGCUGGCGGCAUGCCUUACACAUGCAAGUCGAACGGUAACGGGCCUUCGGGUGCCGACGAGUGGCGAACGGGUGAGUAAUGUAUCGUAACGUACCUUUCAGUGGGGGAUAACGUAGCGAAAGUUACGCUAAUACCGCAUAUUCUGUGAGCAGGAAAGCAGGGGGUCGCAAGACCUUGCGCUGAUUGAGUGGCCGAUAUCAGAUUAGCUAGUUGGUGAGGUAAAGGCUCAGCAAGGCCACGAUCUGGAGCGGGUCUGAGAGGAUGAUCCCCCACACGGUAACAGAGACGCGUACCAGCCUCUUACGGGAGGCAGCAGUGGGAAAAUUUGUACAAUGGGGGAAACCCUGAUCCAGCCAUGCCGCGGGAGUGAAGAAGGCCAUCGCGUUGUAAAGCUCUUGCGGCCGGGAAGAAAUCGUAUCAGCUAAUACCUGGUGCGGAUGACGGUAGCGGCAUAAGAAGCACCGGCUAUCUACGUGCAAGCAGCCGCGGUAACAC
rnacentral:rRNA from 1 species